AUAUUACUAAGCGGAGGAGAAGAAAUUAACUAAGAUUGCCUUAGUAAGGGCGACUGAACCGGCAAGAGCUCGAAAUUAAAAUCGAAAGUUCACUGAACUUCCGAAUUGUAAUCAGGGUGCCCAAAAUACGGCAGGUCACUUAAGUGUCUCGAAAGGCACGCCAAAGAGGGUGCCAGCCCCGUAUGUGGUGCCGCCUCUUAACGAGCGGGUGUUCAACGAGUCGGGUUGUUUUGUAUUGCAGCCCUAAGUGGGAGAUAGACUUCUUCUAAGGCUAAAUAUAUAUGGGAGACCGAUAGCGCACAAGUA
rnacentral:rRNA from 1 species